GAUGAACGCUGGCGGCGUGCCUAAUACAUGCAAGUCGAGCGAAUGGAUUAAGAGCUUGCUCUUAUGAAGUUAGCGGCGGACGGGUGAGUAACACGUGGGUAACCUGCCCAUAAGACUGGGAUAACUCCGGGAAACCGGGGCUAAUACCGGAUAAUAUUUUGAACUGCAUGGUUCAAAAUUGAAAGGCGGCUUCGGCUGUCACUUAUGGAUGGACCCGCGUCGCAUUAGCUAGUUGGUGAGGUAACGGCUCACCAAGGCAACGAUGCGUAGCCGACCUGAGAGGGUGAUCGGCCACACUGGGACUGAGACACGGCCCAGACUCCUACGGGAGGCAGCAGUAGGGAAUCUUCCGCAAUGGACGAAAGUCUGACGGAGCGACGCCGCGUGAGUGAGGAAGGCUUUCGGGUCAUAAAACUCUGUUGUUAGGGAAGAACAAGUGCUAGUUGAAUAAGCUGGCACCUUGACGGUACCUAACCAGAAAGCCACGGCUAACUACGUGCCAGCAGCCGCAGUAA
rnacentral:rRNA from 1 species